UACGGAGGACGCGAGCGUUAUCCGGAUUCAUUGGGUUUAAAGGGUGCGCAGGCGGCCGUGCAAGUCAGCGGUGAAAGCCCGGGGCCCAACCCCGGAAGUGCCGUUGAUACUGUAUGGCUGGAAUGUGGUCGAGGCGGGCGGAACGUGGCGUGUAGCGGUAAAAUGCGUAGAUAUGCCACAGAACGCCGAUAGCGGAGGCAGCUCGCCAGGCCUGCAUUGACGCUCGGGCUCGAAAGCGUGGGGAGCAAAC
rnacentral:rRNA from 1 species